rnacentral:rRNA from 1 species
AUGAACGCUGGCGGCGUGCCUAAUACAUGCAAGUCGAGCGAACAGAUGAGGAGCUUGCUCCUCUGACGUUAGCGGCGGACGGGUGAGUAACACGUGGAUAACCUACCUAUAAGACUGGGAUAACUUCGGGAAACCGGAGCUAAUACCGGAUAAUAUAUUGAACCGCAUGGUUCAAUAGUGAAAGACGGUUUUGCUGUCACUUAUAGAUGGAUCCGCGCCGCAUUAGCUAGUUGGUAAGGUAACGGCUUACCAAGGCAACGAUGCGUAGCCGACCUGAGAGGGUGAUCGGCCACACUGGAACUGAGACACGGUCCAGACUCCUACGGGAGGCAGCAGUAGGGAAUCUUCCGCAAUGGGCGAAAGCCUGACGGAGCAACGCCGCGUAAGUGAUGAAGGUCUUCGGAUCGUAAAACUCUGUUAUUAGGGAAGAACAAAUGUGUAAGUAACUAUGCACGUCUUGACGGUACCUAAUCAGAAAGCCACGGCUAACUACGUG